CACCACCCGUCAGGGUCUUCGGUGGAGC
rnacentral:piRNA from 1 species